rnacentral:rRNA from 1 species
GACGUAGGGCGCGAGCGUUGUCCGGAUUUAUUGGGCGUAAAGAGCUCGUAGGCGGUUUGUCGCGUCUGCCGUGAAAGUCCGGGGCUCAACUCCGGAUCUGCGGUGGGUACGGGCAGACUAGAGUGAUGUAGGGGAGACCGGAAUUCCUGGUGUAGCGGUGAAAUGCGCAGAUAUCAGGAGGAACACCGGUGGCGAAGGCGGAACUCUGGGCCUUAACUGACGCUGAGGCGCGAAAGCGUGGGGAGCGAACCGG